rnacentral:tRNA from 1 species
GGUGGCUCAAUGGUAGAGUCCUUGCCUUGCAUGCAUGAGGCCCUGGGUUCGAUUCCUCAGCACCA